rnacentral:lncRNA from 1 species
CAGUUUGUACCAAGAGAUCUAGACGACAAUAGUGAGAGAGAUAUGGAAUUGCAGGCAUGAUAAAUUAAAUUAAUCCGAAAUAAGAUGAGUGGAGGGACCAUAACACAUUACUAUGUUGGUUAAUUAGGUAUCAUGCCACACAUGGAGGUAUGUACAUCCUGAUCCACUCACUAUUCAUUUAAUUAUUUUCUUUUUAUAUAAUUUAUUUCUUUAUUUAUAUUUAAAGUCUCAUUAUUUGCAAUUCAUUAUAUC